rnacentral:rRNA from 1 species
UACGUAGGCAGCAAGCGUUGUUCGGAAUUACUGGGCGUAAAGCGUGCGCAGGCGGCUUUGCAAGACAGAUGUGAAAUCCCCGGGCUCAACCGUGGGAACUGCAUCUGUGACUGCAUCGCUGGAGUGCGGCAGAGGGGGAUGGAAUUCCGCGUGUAGCAGUGAAAUGCGUAGAUAUGCGGAGGAACACCGAUGGCGAAGGCAAUCCCCUGGGCCUGCACUGACGCUCAUGCACGAAAGCGUGGGGAGCAAACAGG